CAGGACUAACACAUGCAAGUCGAGCGGGCACUUCGGUGCUCAGCGGCGGACGGGUGAGUAACGCGUGGGAACGUGCCUUCUGGUUCGGAAUAACUCAGGGAAACUUGAGCUAAUACCGGAUACGCCCUUUUUGGGGAAAGGUUUACUGCCGGAAGAUCGGCCCGCGUCUGAUUAGCUAGUUGGUGGGGUAACGGCCUACCAAGGCGACGAUCAGUAGCUGGUCUGAGAGGAUGAUCAGCCACACUGGGACUGAGACACGGCCCAGACUCCUACGGGAGGCAGCAGUGGGGAAUAUUGGACAAUGGGCGCAAGCCUGAUCCAGCCAUGCCGCGUGAGUGAUGAAGGCCUUAGGGUUGUAAAGCUCUUUUACCUGGGAAGAUAAUGACGGUACCAGGAGAAUAAGCCCCGGCUAACUUCGUGCCAGCAGCCGCGGUAAU
rnacentral:rRNA from 1 species